CCAUGUUUCACAUGUUUGGAGGAGAAGAUGAACUGUUGGACCUUGUAAGGUGAUCAAGUCCAGGGGUCAGCAUUUGUUGUAUUAAAAUGAAAGGUAGGUGAACUUCCUCCUUUGACCUAUUAAACAAUCAAGGAAAAAGCACAAAUUAGGGCCACAAUGGUAAUCUCAGGCAACAACUUUUGGCAUUUUAGGCUUUUACGUUUGGGAAUGGCCUUGUCCAAGAAGAACCGUGUCGGCCAACCAGUGCUUGCUUUCCUCUCUCCCUAUCAAACAAUACCAUAUGUCUUCAAAAUGAACAAACAGGAACAUACCAAACCCAAAAUCCAAAUACCCUGAAACAGAGAUUUUGAGGGAGGGGGAGCAAAAAACCAAAAGCCCCUUAGUGAGAGCAAUAAUGAAAGGUGUAAUUAGAAGAAGGAACCAUUUUUGCCCCACUUUGCUCUUAUUCAUUCUCUUCUCUUUUCAUGCCUCAAGAUUUGCCUUCUCUGCAGACACCUUAUUGGCAACCCAGUCCCUCACAACUAACCAAACUCUUCUCUCUUCAAGCCAGGUUUUUGAGCUUGGAUUCUUCGCUCCAGGAAAUUCCAAGAAUUGGUACCUGGGGAUAUGGUACAAGGACAUUCGUAGUAGAACAUAUGUCUGGGUGGCUAAUAGAGAUACCCCACUUACCAACUCCUCAGGUAUACUGAAGAUCUCCAAUCAAACCAUUGUUCUUCUUGAUGAAGGAAAUAAUCUCAUAUGGUCUUCAAAUCAAACCAAGGCUAGCAAUCCAGUUAUGCAGUUGUUAGAUACAGGAAAUCUUGUUCUGAGAGAAGCAAAUGAGAGCAAUCAGUAUCUAUGGCAGAGUUUUGAUUAUCCUACAGAUACUUUGUUGCCAGAUAUGAAGCUGGGUUGGGAUCUAAAUAAAGGUCUAGACAGGUAUAUCAGUUCUUGGAGGAGUACAGAUGAUCCUGCAACAGGUGAUUUUUCUUUUAAAUUAGAAUAUCGUGGAUUCCCAGAAAUUUUCUUGUGGAAUGAUGAACAAAAAGAGUACCGUAGUGGGCCAUGGAAUGGGCAAAGAUUCAGUGGAGUACCAGAAAUGAAUCCUACUAAUUCAAUGAGCUUCGAUUUUGUCACUAAUAAAGAUGAGGUAUAUUACACAUAUCAUAUAUCUACGAAAUCUUUAUAUUCAAGAUUGACUGUUACUUCAUCAGGGCAGCUCCAAAGAUACACAUGGAUUCCUGAUACGCAAGUAUGGAAUUCAUUUUGGUAUGCACCAAAAGACCAGUGUGACAAUUUCAUGCAGUGUGGCCCAUAUGGUAUAUGCGACUCAAAUGUCUCCCCUGUUUGCAAGUGCAUGAGCGGGUUCCAACCCAAGAACCCACAGGCAUGGAAUUUGAGAGAUGGGUCCGGUGGGUGUUUCAGGAAAACAAAUCUGCAAUGCACGAAUGAUAAAUUCUUGCACUUGAGGAACAUGAAAUUGCCAGAAAGCUCAACAUCAUUUGUGGACAAUAACAUGAAUCUCAAGGACUGUGAACUGUUAUGCUUAAGGAACUGUUCUUGCACGGCCUAUGCCAAUUCAAACAUUAGCAGUGGAGGCACAGGUUGUGUAAUUUGGGUUGAUGGGCUCUUGGAUAUGAGACAAUAUGCAGAAGGUGGUCAAGAUCUCUACGUCAGAUUGGCUGCUUCUGAAAUAGGUAAUGGUAGGAGUGUAGGUGCUCUUAUUAUUGGCAUCGCAGUUGGCAUUGCCGUUUUGCUACUAGGAAUUGUUGGCUGUUUUGUAUGGAAGAGAAAGAGGUUGCUCAGUGAAUGUAAAGAGGAAAACGCUAUUCAUGAAAGAAGCCAAAACUUCUUGUUAAAUGAGGUGGUUAUCUCAAGCAAGAGAGACUAUUCAGCUGAAAAAGACAAAGAUGAGCUUGAACUGCCAUCGUUUGAUUUUGUUACGAUUUCAACAGCUACCCACAACUUCUCUGAUGAAAAUAUGCUAGGACAAGGAGGUUUUGGCCGUGUUUACAAGGGUAGGCUAGUAGAAGGACAAGAGGUAGCUGUAAAGAGGCUGUCAAAGACCUCUGGACAAGGAAUAGAGGAAUUCAAGAAUGAGGUCAGAUUAAUUGCCAGGCUUCAACACAGAAAUCUUGUUCGACUGCUCGGUUGCUGCAUUGAGAUGGAUGAGAAGAUGCUCAUUUAUGAGUACAUGGAACACAGAAGCCUGGAUUCUGUUUUAUUCAAUAAAGCAAAAAGCUCCUUACUAAAUUGGCCAAGGCGUUUCAAUAUCAUUUGUGGGAUUGCCAGAGGACUUCUAUACUUGCACCAGGAUUCCAGAUUUAGAAUUAUCCACAGGGAUCUCAAAGCAAGCAACAUUCUGCUUGACGGAGAAUGGAAUCCGAAAAUAUCAGACUUUGGCAUGGCUAGAAUAUUUGGUGGAGAUCAAACAGAAGCAAGUACCAGGAGAGUAGUGGGAACAUAUGGUUAUAUGUCUCCUGAGUAUGCAAUGGAUGGGCUCUUCUCAAUGAAAUCAGAUGUUUUUAGUCUUGGUGUACUAGUGUUGGAGAUUGUAAGUGGCAAUAAGAACAGGGGAUUUUAUCAUUCAAACAGUGAACUCAACCUUCUUGGACAUGCAUGGAGACUAUGGAAAGAAGGAAAGGGAUUGGACUUGUUAGAUACAUCGGUUGGCAAUUCAUUUUCCUCAAGUGAAGUUCUGAGAUGCAUACAGGUAGGCCUUUUAUGCGUCCAAGAACAAGCAGAAGAUAGACCAACAAUGUCAUCUGUUGUAUUGAUGUUGAGCAGCGAAACUGCAACGAUGCCCCAGCCUAAAACUCCUGGGUAUUGCCUGGGAAGAAAUCCUUUCGAAACUGAUUCUUCAUCAGGCAAAAAUGAUGAAUCAUUUACAGUAAACCAAGUCACAGUUACAAUUCUAGAUGCAAGUACUUAGGGGAUCUUGAGAAAGCUGCCUGUUUUAGCUGCACUAGUGAAGACUUCUGCUUUUAGUUUUGCCAUCUACGUACAGCGCCUCUAUUUGGCAAUUCCAAACAGAAGAUCAAUUUGGCGAAUUCAAGAAGACGUAUAUUGGCAGAAGUUUUGUUUCCUAGGUACCCUCAGUGUGUGUGCCUACGUCUGCCAUGACCAAGCUUAACAAAAAGCUGCGGAACUAUUCAGAAAACUCUGAUGGUAAUGUGUUUGGUUUAUACAACAUGCCAUCUCCCUUUCUGCAUCUUUAAAUACCUGUUUCCUAGUGAGACUUUGGAAGAGGUAUUGGUUAAUUAUUUUUAUUAAGCAUUAGCUACAACUUGCCUAAGGUACCACUAAUUUAUAUCAGUUUCAACACAAAUCACACAUACCAUUGUCAAUUACAGUGAAUAAAUUCAACAACCCAUGUCAAAUGUCUCAAAAUGCAAAAAUUAACCCUAAAUUUAAAAACCCAACUUGAAUUUCAACAAUGGCAAUAGAGAGUAGUUACCAGAGAUUGACAGUAGAAAGCGCGACUGAAAGUAAGACAGUGAGACACUAAGGGUGAGCUUGGCGAUUAUGACCAGGCGAUUGUGAGCUUGGCAACUGUGAACUGGGAGCUUGGUGGCUGAUUUUGAGCUCUGUGUGUGUGUGUGUGC
rnacentral:misc_RNA from 1 species